rnacentral:lncRNA from 1 species
GUGCUAUUCUAUCAUACAAACAUUCUCUGACAAUGCUUAAUUUGUGAGGUGAGAGAGGUGGCUUGGGAACGGCAUCUUUCUUUUUUUUGGUUGCAACUCCUGUGACACUUCUGUUCUUGAGAACAUCUGUUCCCCAAAUCAUAACCGCUAGAUUUUUUGUAUACUUUGAAUCUCCUUGUGUUACUUGCAGCUGGUGCCAUUUCUCCUCAUCUACCCAAAUUCCACUGCCAAGAUGGACCUAGAAGGUAGUAAUAAUAACAGCUUAUCUAUGGUACGUAGCACACAACAGUCUCCAAGUGCUGUUUGAACAUUAAUAUUAGGUACUAUAAUAACAGUAAUUAGGGUUGAACAAAUUCAUUUUGCCUAACACUGACACUUCUCCAGCUUUGUGGGUCAGGGAGUCCCUCUUCUUUGCUUUUCCUCAAUUCUUCUUACUCUACCUUUUUUAUUUGAUUUCUGCCCACC